rnacentral:rRNA from 1 species
CCUACGGGAGGCAGCAGUGAGGAAUAUUCGUCAAUGGACGAGAGUCUGAACGAGCCAAGUAGCGUGAAGGAUGACUGCCCUAUGGGUUGUAAACUUCUUUUAUAUGGGAAUAAAACGUUCCACGUGUGGGAUUUUGUAUGUACCAUAUGAAUAAGGAUCGGCUAACACCGUGCCAGCAGCCGCGGUAAUACGGGGGAUCCGAGCGUUAUCCGGUUGUAUUGUGUUAAAGGGAGCGUAGGUGGAUUGUUAAGUCAGUUGUGAAAGUUUGCGGCUCAACCGUAAAAUGGCAGUUGAAACUGGCAGUCUUGAGUACAGUAGAGGAGGGCGGAAUUCGUGGUGUAGCGGUGAAAUGCUUAGAUAUCACGAAGAACUCCGAUUGCGAAGGCAGUUCACUGGACUGCAACUGACACUGAGGCUCGAAAGUGUGGGUAUCAAACAGGAUUAGAUACCCUUGUAGUC